AUUGAACGCUGGCGGCAGGCCUAACACAUGCAAGUCGAGCGAGCGGCGGACGGGUGAGUAAUGUAUGGGGACUGCCCGAUAGAGGGGGAUAACUACUGGAAACGGUGGCUAAUACCGCAUACUAUCGGAUAACCCAUAUGGGAUUAGCUAGUGGGUGGGGUAAAGGCUCACCUAGGCGACGAACUCUAGCUGGUCUGAGAGGAGGAUCGGCCACACUGGAAUGGUGACACGGCCCAAACUCCUACGGAGGCAGCAUUGGGGAUUAUUGCACAAUGGGCGCAAUCCGGAUGCAGCCAUGCGCCGUGUAUAAAGAAGGCCUUAGGGUUGUAAAGUACGUUCAGCGGGGAGGCGUUACCCGCAGAAGAAGCACCGGCUAACUCCGUGCCAGCAGCCGCGGUAAUAC
rnacentral:rRNA from 1 species